rnacentral:rRNA from 1 species
CCAGGAAUCUUGCACAAUGGGCGAAAGCCUGAUGCAGCAAUACCGUGUGGGUGAGGAAGGCCUUCGGGUCGUAAAGCCCUGUUGUUGGGGACGAAGGGCGAAGGGUUAAUAGCCCCUAGCCUGACUGUACCCUUCGAGGAAGCCCCGGCUAACUACGUGCCAGCAGCCGCGGUAAUACGUAGGGGGCGAGCGUUGUCCGGAAUUAUUGGGCGUAAAGAGCGUGUAGGCGGCCCGGUAAGUCUGCUGUGAAACCCUGGGGCUCAACCCCGGGCGUGCAGUGGAUACUGCCGGGCUAGAGGAUGGUAGAGGCGAGUGGAAUUCCCAGUGUAGCGGUGAAAUGCGCAGAUAUUGGGAGGAACACCAGUAGCGAAGGCGGCUCGCUGGGCCAUACCUGACGCUG